rnacentral:RNase_P_RNA from 1 species
UUGGAAGGGUGGAGCAUCGCUGGCGGCGCAAGCCGCUGGAGGAAAGUCCGAACUCCUCAGGGCGCGGGACCGAGGAAACCGGUCACGACCGGCGCAAGCCGGGGACGACCGGCAUGACCGCGGGCGUUCGGGGCGAAAGUCCCGGGCGACAGACAGUGCCACAGAGAACAUACCGCCACGGCCGCAAGGCCGGGGUAAGGGUGAAAAGGCGGGGUAAGAGCCCACCGCCCGCCGCGCAAGCGUCGGGGCAUGGAAAACCUUCCCGGGAGCAAGGCCAAAUAGGGAACCCUGGCGCGGCCCGCGCCGGUGCUGCGCAAGCAGCCGGGUUCCGGGUACUGGCCGCCGAGAUGAAUGACGCUCACCCGUCCCGCAAGGGCCGGGGACAGAAUUCGGCUUACAGCCCUUCCAAGACA